rnacentral:lncRNA from 1 species
CGCCGGUGGCUGGGGGGCGGCCGGGGGCGGCUCCGGCCGCCUCGGGACCCCGCCGCGGCGCCCCCCGGCUGUUAGCCGCCGGUCGCCCUGCGGAGCCGGGGGGAGAGCGGCAGAAAGCCCCGCGAGUGAAAAAAGCACCGAAAGGCGCCGGGUUCUCCUCAGAGCAGCCCGCUGUUUCGGGGGUUUCCCUUGCAAUCGAGCUCACCGCAGAGCUGCGUAACGUCGCACGCAGAAAUGCCUUUUAAAGCUCGUUACGGUCCCGAGCCAACCGUCUGCUCUUCGUGACUCAGGAGAGGAGGAUAUGCGGAGCGCAGGACAAACAAACAGCCGCUUCCAGUUUCCUUCUUGGGAAUGUUAAUUUGUUUUCCUUCUGGGCAGGCGGGAGCACAAAAUAAUGCCCUUCCGUGCUAGAGUCGUGUUACAUUUCUGGUGAUAUAAAUAAAUGGGCAAAUCGAGGUCCAGAUUUGCUCAGUCUGUGCCCAGACGAUUAAUUUUCCUUGUCUGAAGCAUCAUGAAGGCAGUGUUUACGCUGACUGUCACAAAGCACUUUUAAGAUAUUUCAGACACAAAAAGAGCCUUUCCAACUUGCCCUGCUGUAAUCUGCAAAUCCGUAACUCUCAUAGGAGGGACAGAAAGGGGCAGGGAGUGCAGGCCCCUUCUCUUCCAAGACAGAACCAUUCUGACGAAGUACACAUUAUUUAUUUUUACUUCCAAAGUUUAUACGUGGGGUUUGAUAUUGCCAAAUCCUUUCUGCGGGAUGUAAUCAGGCCAUUACGCUACAGUGUGUUUAAUAUGUUCUGACAUAACAUAAAAGUACAGCUAUGUAUGUCAUGUAUGUUGAAAGAGUGUACUAUAUGAUAAACUCAUCUCAGUUUUUGUUUAAUCCCAUUUCUUCAGUCAAAUUUGAAACAUUUGCUAAACAGAUUUUUGAAUCAUCAACUUGAAUUAGUAAAUUAAAAAGUUAUCAAUCAUCUUACUAUAGAGUAAAAUAAAAACUGAAAAUAAAUCCA